UCAACGGCAUCACGAGGGCUAGACUGUCUCCCCUUUCUAAUCAGUGAAUCUGACUUCUUCGUGAAGAGGCGAAGAUAUUUAUAUAAGACGAGAAGACCCCAUGGAGCUUAAAACCAAACAACACUCCUUUUUACGUAAACCCUAAAAAAUAAAAGAACUGUUGACUAGUUUUUGGCUGGGGCAUCCGAGGAGUACAACAUAACCUCCCUGACGAACAUCUUAGAAUUACAACUCCAAGAAACAGUAAUCUGACGUAAUGUGACCCGACAAUCGAUCAACGAACCAAGUUACCCUGGGGAUAACAGCGCAAUCCAUUUCAAGAGCCCCUAUCGACAAAUGGGUUUACGACCUCGAUGUUGGAUCAGGGUACCCCAGUGGUGCAGCCGCUACUAAAGGUUCGUUUGUUCAACGAUUAAAACCCU
rnacentral:rRNA from 1 species